GACGAACGCUGGCGGCGUGCUUAACACAUGCAAGUCGAGCGGAAAGGCCCUUCGGGGUACUCGAGCGGCGAACGGGUGAGUAACACGUGAGUAACCUGCCCCCGACUUUGGGAUAACCCUCGGAAACGGGGGCUAAUACCGGAUACGACACAGCUUCGCAUGGGGUCUGUGUGGAAAGUUUUUCGGUUUGGGAUGGGCUCGCGGCCUAUCAGCUUGUUGGUGGGGUGAUGGCCUACCAAGGCGACGACGGGUAGCCGGCCUGAGAGGGCGACCGGCCACACUGGGACUGAGACACGGCCCAGACUCCUACGGGAGGCAGCAGUGGGGAAUAUUGCACAAUGGGCGGAAGCCUGAUGCAGCGACGCCGCGUGAGGGAUGACGGCCUUCGGGUUGUAAACCUCUUUCAGCAGGGACGAAGCGUAAGUGACGGUACCUGCAGAAGAAGCGCCGGCCAACUACGUG
rnacentral:rRNA from 1 species